CCUACGGGUGGCUGCAGUGGGGAAUAUUGGGCAAUGGGCGCAAGCCUGACCCAGCAACGCCGCGUGAAGGAAGAAGGCUUUCGGGUUGUAAACUUCUUUUCUGAGGGACGAAGAAAGUGACGGUACCUCAGGAAUAAGCCACGGCUAACUACGUGCCAGCAGCCGCGGUAAUACGUAGGUGGCAAGCGUGAUCAGGAUUUAUUGGGUGUAAAGGGCGUGUAGGCGGGAAAGCAAGUCAGAUGUGAAAACUCAGGGCUCAACCCGGAGCCUGCAUUUGAAACUGUUUUUCUUGAGUGCUGGAGAGGCAAUCGGAAUUCCGUGGGUAGCGGUGAAAGGCGUAGAGAGACGGAGGAACACCAGUGGCGAAGGCGGAUUGCUGGACAGUAACUGACGCUGAGGCGCGAAAUCGUGGGGAGCAAACAGGAUUAGAUACCCGUGUAGUC
rnacentral:rRNA from 1 species